rnacentral:rRNA from 1 species
CUUGAACGCAUAUUGCGGUCNCAGGUUAGCCUGUGGCCACGUCUGUCCGAGAGUCGGCUUA